AUAAAGGAAGUUUGCUUUUUGAUCGUUUU
rnacentral:piRNA from 1 species